rnacentral:rRNA from 1 species
AUAUGUUUGCCAGACUGUGAGAUUGAUAGAUCGAACAGAGACAAUAAAGUCGGUUUUAGUGAACCAACAGUGUUGAAUGAAAAAGCUGUUGAUCAGCAGAUAAAAGGUACUGUAGGGAUAACAGAAUAAUAAAAAUCAAGCGAUCUUAGCGACGUUUUUGUUUGUGACCUCGAUGUCGGCUUAUAACAUCCUUGUGGUGCAG